UUCAAAAGCAACAUUUACCACCAGUCAGGAGAAACUCGGAGCCAGCCCUCAGCUGUUUGCCGUUGGGAAGGCGCUGUUCAUGGACUGCUCCCUUCUUGAUGAUAAACUGAGAAGAGGACAUCUGGCCUGGCCCGGUGGCGCCAUCGAGCAAGCUGGGGCACUGGAGUCCAACAGAACCGGGAUCCGAUCCACGAUGCCAUGCUGCAUUUUACUACGUGUCCAAUCUGUGACCAUUUCUCGGCCUUCCCUUGUUCUCCCGUGACUUUGACACUUUGAAGAGCAGUGAGCUGGUAUUUUUGUAGCAUGCACCUCGGUUUGGAUUUUUCUGGCAUUUUCUCACGAUUACACUGGGGUUGCGGAUUUUUGUGAAGAAUACCAGGGAGGUGAAGCGCCCUUCUCACAUCGCGGGAGGGGGUACCUACUGUCAACAUGAAUGCUCACCGGUGAGGUUUGCCGUGGGUACUCAGGUAAGGUGGCGUCUGCCAGGUGUCUCCACUGCAAAGUGACUCCUUCCCUUCCACGUUUUAUUCCUUAGAAGCCAGUCACUAAGUCCAGCCCACCUCAAGGAUGGAGGAAUUAAGCCACGCCUCCUGGAGGGAGGAGUAUUCACUUUUAUAUUUGGGAUUCUUCUGCAAGGAAGGUCUGUGGCUUCUCCCUCGUUCUACCUCAUCCUUUAAGCCUCAGUUCCUCAUCUGUGAAAUAAGGAUAAGCGCUGGACUCACCGGGAGCUGUUGGAACGUUUAAAAAAUACAGUGUGUGGAGAGCACUUAGCACGAGCGAAGGCGAAGUAUUGUGAUCAGGAAUGACCCCAGACGCGCCACCCUGUCUGCGGGAGUCACUCAGCUCCAGACCCACUGUACGGCUGGCAGUGCUGGCCUCCUCCAGACCCAGGGAGGGAAGGCCCCCUGAAAGGAGGCCGUUUGGGGCCGGCCGUGUUCGUCCGGCUCCUCCUGCGGGCCCUGCACAUGAGAAGGAGGUUUGCAGACAGAAUGCCGCCAGCCCGGUGAAGGCACUGCCAUGAAGGCACCGCCGUGCAGGCAGAGGGGGAGCAGGUCUGGUGGAGAG
rnacentral:lncRNA from 1 species